rnacentral:rRNA from 1 species
GCUCGAGUGGCGAACGGGUGAGUAACACGUGAGUAACCUGCCCUUGACUUUGGGAUAACUUCAGGAAACUGGGGCUAAUACCGGAUAGGAGCUCCUGCUGCAUGGUGGGGGUUGGAAAGUUUCGGCGGUUGGGGAUGGACUCGCGGCUUAUCAGCUUGUUGGUGGGGUAGUGGCUUACCAAGGCCUUGACGGGUAGCCGGCCUGAGAGGGUGACCGGCCACAUUGGGACUGAGAUACGGCCCAG